UGUUGCCAUCAGUUGAUAUGAUUACUCCGGACCAUGUGAAAUGGCGAGUUUGUUGAUCGAGAGAGUUGAGUGAUUCAACUCCCUAAGAAAAAUAAAACAUUUUUGCGUAAGAGGCCGGGACGGCGGUCCAGUGAAGGGCUAUUUGGGUAUUAUUGAAAUAUGAUAAUACUUUUCUGCCAAAGGCCAAUGUGUUGCCUUAUAUUUGGUACCUGUGAAUUAGGACAUGCUUCUACGAAGUGUGAUCCCGUACUAUUACACGUGCUGAUCAGCUGUGAUAGUACACCCGUCAGUGGAAGUUUCAAUCAAAAUUUAUGAUUUGAUUACUUAAGCUAAUAUUGCUUUUGUUUUCCAUUGGAUACUACUGUUUCUUAUCUCUUUACUUCCAGAAGGAUAGCACUUAUUAAUGCUUUACAUUUAAGUAUUUUAUAUAUAUAUUGUUGAGCCUUCUAGUUGCUCAUUCUUCCUUGUUGUUGCUGUGCUAAUCUUUGAGUUACAACUGUUAUGAUUUACUUCAAAAGUCUGCUUUAUUUCAAAUACUCUGAUUUCAUUCAAAAGAAAUUAUAUCUUGUGGCUCUUGCCUUUCUUAUUAUCUUGUUGAGCAUUUUCGCUCACUCUUGCUAUUAUUUCUAACCCUUUCAGCUAGGGAUUGAGAUGUCACCUGUAUAAGCUGCGCGUAAGAUUGAUGCUAGGCGAGAUUGCCAGGGAGAUGUUUACAAGAGUAGUUCUAGUUAGAAUUGUUCUAUUUCAGUUCAGUUGUAAAUAGACUUAUUUAUUUGGUUAUCAGUUACUCUUCUUAUCGAGGUUUAACUGAUAAUGUAGUUUAAGUUGUAAUAAGAUUUUAAGUUUUGGUUUCUGAUUUCAGUACUGUAACCUAUUAGCGAUCCUGUUUUUAGGGGGGUCAAAGUGAUUUUGAUUUAAAUCUCUUUUAAAAUUUCCAGAUUUUGAAAUAUCUGUUUUACCUUCUUCCGCAAAUAUAGGUUUUUAAAUGAUUUUGUUUUAGUGGCACCAAAUCCAGACCCCCGGAUUUGAGGGCUGUCACAGUUGGUAUCAGAGCCAGGUUAUAAGUUAUUGAAAUCAGAAUGUAGGUUGUAUUAGGAUUGUGUUUAGUGGGACCUCAACUAGAGAUAAGUCGAGACUAUUUGGUAUAGUCUUUGUUGAUAGAAUUGAGGUAGAUAAUGGAGCAUUGAUUUCAAGUAAUCAUUUGGGAUAUCCUAGUUUCUAAUUCGAGAACUAGUGAGUUGGAUUUCAGGGACAUGAUGGAACCUUUAGUUUUCAAUCUUUUUGAACUUGAGUUUGACUUUUUGAGUAACCAGAGGCAGCUAGACUUGUGUAUUGACCUAUCUAGUCUUGAGUGUUCCUUGUCAUCUCUACCACUUUUUGAGUAUUUGUUCGAGGGUCAUCUAUUCUUAUGAAGUCAUAUAGAAGGAAUAUGAGAUUUGAUGGAUCAUUGCGAGAAGCCAGGUGUAUAGUUCUUGAUAUGAGAAUUAUAUAGGAGUGGUAGGCUACUCGAGAUAGUAUUAUGAGUAGGUUAGAAUGCCAACGCUCUACACUGCUGAUUGUCAAAGCUGGAUACGACUUCUGUCAGUACCAAGCUCGACAGGACUUCUACCUAACGUGGAUAUUGGUGACGGGAUCUACGAAGGAGAAUACAAGUUAACAAUAAUAUUCAUCAUAGAAUCGAAACGAAUCGUCAGAAGAAUCGAUAGCGAAGACAUAUGUGAUAGCCUUGGCAAUACCAUCCUCAUUAUUGAUUCUAUUGAUCAUUUUCACAGUCAGUGAAUUGUUUUAAUAUCUCUUCUAUUGAAACAUUCAUGAAGUCCUUUUUGUCAAAAAUUUGUAUCUUUGGAAGCUAUUCGAUUUCAACUCUUAAGGUUCGUAUUAAAGAUUCAUUUCUCAAAAAUCAAUCAUUGUUGGUUGAUUUUGAAAUUUUCAUAUUUUCCAUUCUAACUGAGGUGAACAACCCUACUAUAGGGGACACAAGGACUAUCUGUCUGUGUGAUAGAGGUUUGAUGGGACGCCAUCACUUGUGUGUGUUGUGAUUACAAGAAGGAUAACAACCUUUAGUAGUGUCUAUAUGGGCACGCAACACUAAGUUCGUUGGAUCAUAUUUGAUCUCUCAGUCACUUGUUUAUUCAGAUGAAACCUAUUUUGAAAACAUUUUUGUCCUAUAGCCAAAUUCUCAAAGAUUUAUUCCGGAAAGUCAAUUCUGCAUUUGCGAAAAUUUUAAGAUUCCGAUUCCUUUAAAGUUGAGGUAUGCCAAGGAUUAAUCAAUAGUGGAUGGCGGUAUGGUAUUGCGUCGCGUGUAUGUUUUAGUUCUCUUCGCGGAUUCUGAGGACAGAAUCUUUAUAAGGGGGGUAGAAUGUAAUAUCCCAGAUUUUUAAUUCAGAUUUGAUUAUUAUAGAUCCAAUUUUUUUUUUUUUUUUUUUAAAUGUUAUGGUUGUCCUUAAUUGAAUAUUGUGUGAUGGUCUAUAUUUGUUUUGUGGAUUAGUAGAUUACGCGUCCUCCUUCUUUCUUUGAUUCCGAGGACGGAAUCCGUUUAAGGAGGGUAGAUUGUAAUGACCCGGAUUUUUAAAAUCUAUUUAUUAUUAUGAAAGUGAUUUUGUUCAAGAAAGGGAAUGAGAUUUGAUAUUUUAUUCCAUUUUAAUUAAAUCAAAAUGUUAUAUUUAAACUCCGGGUUAUUGUGUUAUUGGUAUAUAACUGUUUCUUCAAAAAUGAGUUUCAUAUAUUAUUUUGAAAAAUUCUAAAUGAUUAUUAUGUGAAUAUGAAGUCCUUUUUGUCAAAAAUUUGUAUCUUUGGAAGCUAUUCGAUUUCAACUCUUAAGGUUCGUAUUAAAGAUUCAUUUCUCAAAAAUCAAUCAUUGUUGGUUGAUUUUGAAAUUUUCAUAUUUUCCAUUCUAACUGAGGUGAACAACCCUACUAUAGGGGACACAAGGACUAUCUGUCUGUGUGAUAGAGGUUUGAUGGGACGCCAUCACUUGUGUGUGUUGUGAUUACAAGAAGGAUAACAACCUUUAGUAGUGUCUAUAUGGGCACGCAACACUAAGUUCGUUGGAUCAUAUUUGAUCUCUCAGUCACUUGUUUAUUCAGAUGAAACCUAUUUUGAAAACAUUUUUGUCCUAUAGCCAAAUUCUCAAAGAUUUAUUCCGGAAAGUCAAUUCUGCAUUUGCGAAAAUUUUAAGAUUCCGAUUCCUUUAAAGUUGAGGUAUGCCAAGGAUUAAUCAAUAGUGGAUGGCGGUAUGGUAUUGCGUCGCGUGUAUGUUUUAGUUCUCUUCGCGGAUUCUGAGGACAGAAUCUUUAUAAGGGGGGUAGAAUGUAAUAUCCCAGAUUUUUAAUUCAGAUUUGAUUAUUAUAGAUCCCAUUUUUUUUUUUUUUUUUUUAAAUGUUAUGGUUGUCCUUAAUUGAAUAUUGUGUGAUGGUCUAUAUUUGUUUUGUGGAUUAGUAGAUUACGCGUCCUCCUUCUUUCUUUGAUUCCGAGGACGGAAUCCGUUUAAGGAGGGUAGAUUGUAAUGACCCGGAUUUUUAAAAUCUAUUUAUUAUUAUGAAAGUGAUUUUGUUCAAGAAAGGGAAUGAGAUUUGAUAUUUUAUUCCAUUUUAAUUAAAUCAAAAUGUUAUAUUUAAACUCCGGGUUAUUGUGUUAUUGGUAUAUAACUGUUUCUUCAAAAAUGAGUUUCAUAUAUUAUUUUGAAAAAUUCUAAAUGAUUAUUAUGUGAAUAUAUGUGUUAUGUGAUUAAGUGAUACUGGUGGAAUUGUUCGAUAAUUAAUUAUAGUUAAUUAUGAAUAUUGUGUGAUUAUAUUCUUGAGAUUCGGUGUAUUUUAUUUCUAUUGGAUUGUUGAGUUGUGUUAUCAAUUCCCAUUUGUUAUGGGUUUUAUACUGAUUGAAUUAUAUAAAAUGGUGUAUUGCAUAUAAAAUCAUUUUUUAUCACUUUAUAAUUUCAUUAAAUAUUUUUAGAGAUUUAUAAAAUUCAUAAAAUGAUAUUUCGAUAAUUAUUCAGUUCUAAAUGAUUUUCAGUGUAGUUUCAAGUGGGGUGUUUCUGUUAAUUUCAAAAAUGAUCCAAAAAUCGUGGAAAUCAUAUUUUAUUAGUUUUUAAUUAUGUUGAGAUUUUAAAAAUUAUUUUGGUAUUUAUCUGGAUCAUUUUUAUCUGUGAUUUUGUUCGCUAAUCUGUCAAAUUCAGUCUGAGACCAAGCUGGCAGGGGUACGUGUCAAUUGCUUUGAUACGUGUCUUGCGUGAAAUCAGUUUUUAUAAACUGAUUUACUUUCUUUUCUUUUACAAUCUCUCACCGCCUCUUCUCUCUCCUAAAAUCUCUCCACCGUCUCUCUCUUUCUCUCUAAUCUCUCUCUGCACACCCAUCUCCCCCAAAUCUCUCGCUCUCUCCUGCUCCCUCGCACUCUCCUUGCCCUCUCUCUCUCCCGGGUGUCGCUGCAGUGUUCUUAGCCACCGCUGCUCUGUUUUCCGGCCGCCCAUCGCCGCUCGUGCUCCGAUUCCGGCACCACCAGCUCGUCCCCUCUCUUUUCCCCUCAUUCCCCUGCCUCCCUUUGCUUUGCUGCUGUGCCUGUGCAUCUGUAUGUGUGUAUUUCGAGUGUGUGUAUUAGUGUGUGCCACGAGGCUAUGUGUGUGCGCGAUUAUGUGGUCUGGUGUGGGUGUGUGUGUGUAUAUUCUGGUGUCCGUGUGCGGAAUCAGUGUGUGGGUGCUCAGUAUGCGUGCGUGUGUGCAGGUGGGUAUAUGUAUUUGUGUGUGGGCCCGAGUUGGCCGAGUUUUGACUACCUGGCUGUGUAGAUUAUUCGAGUGGCUCGAGUCCUGAAUUGAUUUUCUUAUACGUGUUUAUUUAUUAUUUCAUUUGCUGGUUCGUUUGACUGAUUAUCGAGGUUAGUUAGUAUUUAUAAAUUAAGUAUUUCGAUUAUUUCAGAGAUUGAUUACAGGUUUGUUGGGAUUGUUGUGUCGAUAUGAUAUCGACUGGUAGUCCGAUAAAUAGAGGAGGUGCUGCCCAAUUUUAAAUAAAAUUUAGAUUUUAAAAUUAUACGGGAGCGUAUCCUAUAAUUAUCAGGCUAUUAAUCGAAUUUAUAUAGUUACUGAUUCGUGAUAUUAUUAUUAAAUCUAUAAAUAAUAUUUAUGUGAUUUGGUAGUCAUAGCAUUAUUAUUAAUGUUAAUGUGUGAAACUGUGUUUACUUGGUAAUUUUAGGAUGUCGAAUAUUAAUAAAUAUUAGUAUUAUUCUUUAUUAUUAUUAUUGCUUGCACUAGUAGUAAUAAUAGUAAAUGAUAAUAUUAAUAAUAUAAAUAUGCGAUAUCUUAAAUAGUUAUAAUGCUAUGCUUAUUUAAUUCAACUUGUAUAUAUUUGAUUUGAAUAGUAUCUAAAUUGAGUAUUAUGGUAAGUGGUAAGUAAAUGUAUGGAAAUAUGUGAUACGUGCUAAGUGCUACGUGUUAAAUGUUAGAGUGUUAUUCUUGAUAGUAUAAUGUAUUAAUAUUGAAUUACUUUCCAUUUUAAAGAUAAGCUGUUAGUUUCUUUCAAUCAUUAUGUGUUUAGGUGCCGCAUGUCUGGGCGGAUUAUUUAUCAUUAUGUGUUAGGUGCCGCAUGUCGGGGCGGGUACUUUUCUUAUGUGAUUUACUGCAUGUCGAGGCAGAUAUUCUUUAUAUUAGUAUUUUAUUUAGUUUAAAGAGCUUGAUUUAAUUGAUUUGAAAACAGGGGGAUAGUCCUAUUUACGAAUAGGUCAUGCCGAAUUUUCUGUAGAAAUAUUAACUUAAAACGCGUUCUCGUGUUGAAUAAUAUUCAGAGAUGGUUGUAAGUUAUAAAACUAUAACGUGUGCUACUUGUUAUGUGCUAUAUAAUGUGCCAUGUAUAUAUUUGUGUAUAUAUAUAUCACGAAAGGGUAGAAAUAGGAUAGUCGUUUCGGAAGGAUACUAAAGUAGUAUCUGUUUGCUUAUAAUAGGAUCGAGCAUUGAGGGCGUGAUACCAAGCAAGGGCAGAAAAUGUGAGAGUUGUAUAGCGGUUCAGUAGCUACGGAUUGUUCGAGACGAGUAGAACCAGACGUUGGGGAUCAAGACUGAAGUUAGAUAAGAUGUCGUAUCAGGCUGCAGCAACCGCAUGAGCGACAUAGCAAAGAAUCAGGAAUAGUUGAUGGUGAUGUCUUGAGAAAGCAGAAUAAGAUAAGGAUGUUAGCUAAGAGUGUAUAAGCUAAGGACCAAAGGCAAGUAUUCCCAUUCCUCUCUUGUAUAUUUGAAAGUGCAAGUAUCCCUAUCUUCACUUAUUGUUCAAGUGAAAUUUUCUUCAAAUCCUAUUAUGCAAGUAUCUUGAAACCUUCUUUUAGAUAUAUUGCAAGUACUCUGGAACUUCCUUGAUAUAUUGCAAGUACCCCUGACAAUACUCUUGCUGGUUCGAGAUUACUAUAUAUGGAGUAAUGUAGAGCAAGAAUGCAUGUCUUUGUUCAAAUAGAUUCUAAAUAAUUGAAUGUUUUAAGUUACGUAUUCCCCUCGUUUCUAUGGAUUUAAUAUCUUUUAAAUUUAGUUUUAGCUGCCAAAGGCCAAUGUGUUGCCUUAUAUUUGGUACCUGUGAAUUAGGACAUGCUUCUACGAAGUGUGAUCCCGUACUAUUACACGUGCUGAUCAGCUGUGAUAGUACACCCG
rnacentral:lncRNA from 1 species